GGACUAUUGGCCGAGUUGGUACGGCCUAGCGAUUGCACUUCUAGCGUAGUCAGCGUUAUUAUACUUACCCAAUAUCUUUAUUCCGCAUCGUUAGGCACCGAGGGUUCGAUUCCCUCAUUGGCUA